rnacentral:tRNA from 1 species
GAGGGUACAGCUCAGCGGUAGAGCGUGUGCUUAGCAUACACGAGGUCCUGGGUUCAAUUCCAAGUACCUCCA